rnacentral:rRNA from 1 species
AACGAACGCUGGCGGCAUGCCUAACACAUGCAAGUCGAACGAGACCUUCGGGUCUAGUGGCGCACGGGUGCGUAACGCGUGGGAACCUGCCCUUAGGUGCGGAAUAACUCCCCGAAAGGGGUGCUAAUACCGGAUAAUGUCUUCGGACCAAAGAUUUAUCGCCUUUGGAUGGGCCCGCGUUGGAUUAGCUAGUUGGUAGGGGAAAAGCCUACCAAGUCGACGAGCCAUAGCUGGUCUGAGAGGAUGAUCAGCCACACUGGGACUGAGACACGGCCCAGACUCCUACGGGAGGCAGCAGUGGGGAAUAUUGGACAAUGGGCGAAAGCCUGAUCCAGCAAUGCCGCGUGAGUGAUGAAGGCCUUAGGGUUGUAAAGCUCUUUUACCCGGGAUGAUAAUGACAGUACCGGGAGAAUAAGCUCCGGCUAACUCCGUG